AGCAGUAAGGGAAUCUUCCACAAUGGACGCAAGUCUGAUGGAGCAACGCCGCGUGAGUGAAGAAGGUCUUCGGAUCGUAAAACUCUGUUGUUAGAGAAGAACACGAGUGAGAGUAACUGUUCAUUCGAUGACGGUAUCUAACCAGCAAGUCACGGCUAACUACGUGCCAG
rnacentral:rRNA from 1 species